rnacentral:sRNA from 1 species
GCCAGGUAUAGUGGCAUAUGCCUGUAAUCCCAUUGGCUCAGGAGGCUGAGGCAGGAGAAUCGCCAGUUCAAAGCCAGCCUCAGCAUAGGUGCUGAGCAACUCAAUGAGACCCUGUCUCUA